rnacentral:misc_RNA from 1 species
AAAUGUUGUUCUAUAAGCUCAAAGUCAUCAACUUUUUUCAAGUGUAAUUCUCAAAGACAGUCCACUGAACAAAAAACUGAAGAAACUGAAGGGGAAAAUGGGUAUCAGGAACAAGUUUAUGAUUUUGAAAGACUUUUUUCUAACCUCAAUCAAGCUACUUUGAAGAGAGAACCAGGAAGUCUCAGCAGUGCCAUUUUUCUUGUUGCUGGUACCACUGUAGGUG